rnacentral:rRNA from 1 species
GAUGAACGCUGGCGGCGUGCCUAAUACAUGCAAGUCGAGCGAACAGACGAGAGUGCUUGCACUCUCUGACGUUAGCGGCGGACGGGUGAGUAACACGUGGGUAACCUACCUAUAAGACUGGGAUAACUUCGGGAAACCGGAGCUAAUACCGGAUAAUAUUUAGCUUCGCAUGGAGCAAUAGUGAAAGACGGUUCUGCUGUCACUUAUAGAUGGACCCGCGGUGUAUUAGCUAGUUGGUGAGGUAACGGCUCACCAAGGCAACGAUACAUAGCCGACCUGAGAGGGUGAUCGGCCACACUGGGACUGAGACACGGCCCAGACUCCUACGGGAGGCAGCAGUAGGGAAUCUUCCGCAAUGGACGAAAGUCUGACGGAGCAAUGCCGCGUGAGUGAAGAAGGUUUUCGGAUCGUAAAACUCUGUUGUAAGGGAAGAACAAGUACGUUAGUAACUGAACGUACCUUGACGGUACCUUACCAGAAAGCCAUGGCUAACUACGUG